GAUGAACGCUGGCGGCGUGCCUAAUACAUGCAAGUCGAGCGAACAGACGAGGAGCUUGCUCCUCUGACGUUAGCGGCGGACGGGUGAGUAACACGUGGAUCACCUACCUAUAAGACUGGGAUAACUUCGGGACACCGGAGCUAAUACCGGAUAAUAUAUUGAACCGCAUGGUUCAAUAGUGAAAGACGGUUUUGCUGUCACUUAUAGCUGGAUCCGCGCCGCAUUAGCUAGUUGGUAAGGUAACGGGUUACCAAGGCAACGAUGCGUAGCCGACCUGAGAGAGUGGUCGGCCGCACUGGAGCUGAAACACGGUCCAUACUCCUACGAGAGGCAGCAGAAUGGAAUCUUCCGCAGUGGUCGAGAACCUGACGGAGCAGCGCCGCGUGAGUGAUAAAGAUCUUCGGAGCGUAAAACUCGAUUAUGAGGUGAAAACAAAUUUGGAAGUAGCUAUACACGGCGUGACGGUACCUAAUCAGAAAGCCACGGCUAACUACGUG
rnacentral:rRNA from 1 species